GUCCCCGGUCUGUGGCCGCAGCAAAGGAGGCAGGGAAGACACAGGGGUGGCCCGGCGCGGGGGCCAGAGGAAGGAGGCCCACCGGGGAGGCAGCGGGAGGACGGAGGCCAGAGGCCACGCUGCCGUGCGGGGAACUUGACAGCCGUGUUCUCCCCCAGUUCUGAGACCACAGGCCGGAAAUCAAGAGGCGCAGCCUUGGAAGCCAGGAGCAGGACAGGAGUGUCCCCACCGCGGCCCCGGAGACACGGCCUGCGCAGUCAGGUGCGAGAAAGGAGUCGAGUCAGAGCCGCUGAUUUGCAGGUGAUUGUGUUAGCGCCUGAAGGACAGGAAGCUCUGGAACAGUGAAAGAAGCUGGAGGGACGCGUCGCCCACCCCCACGGCGACCAGGCGGGAGGCGGUGCAGGGAAGAACGGCCUCGAAAUGAUUGUCCCAAAAAUGGGAAGAUCGUUAGAAAUCAGUAAGAAAUACGCCAGAUUCACACCGCGAGGGCUUCAGACGCAGCCCCGGGUCACAGAGGAAGGUCUCCAACCACGGGUAGGCCCCGCCCUCCAGGGCGGUCGUGAGAACACGCCCACAUCAAUCCCCUUAAUAAAUCCAUCGCGAUAUGGACAUUGUGCUUUUAAAAGCUAA